ensembl:piRNA 21ur-3802 ncRNA
UGGACCAAGGAUAAUGUCAGC